GUCCUCGUAGCUCAGUUGGAAAGAGCGCAGACCUCCUAAGUCUGGUUUUGCGGUGGUUCGAGUCCACUCGGGGACACCA
rnacentral:tRNA from 1 species